rnacentral:rRNA from 1 species
UGGGGAAUAUUGCACAAUGGGCGCAAGCCUGAUGCAGCCAUGCCGCGUGUAUGAAGAAGGCCUUCGGGUUGUAAAGUACUUUCAGCGGGGAGGAAGGGAGUAAAGUUAAUACCUUUGCUCAUUGACGUUACCCGCAGAAGAAGCACCGGCUAACUCCGUGCCAGCUGCCGCGGUAAUACGGAGGGUGCAAGCGUUAAUCGGAAUUACUGGGCGUAAAGCGCACGCAGGCGGUUUGUUAAGUCAGAUGUGAAAUCCCCGGGCUCAACCUGGGAACUGCAUCUGAUACUGGCAAGCUUGAGUCUCGUAGAGGGGGGUAGAAUUCCAGGUGUAGCGGUGAAAUGCGUAGAGAUCUGGAGGAAUACCGGUGGCGAAGGCGGCCCCCUGGACGAAGACUGACGCUCAGGUGCGAAAGCGGGGGGAGCAAACAGG